AUACGGAGGAUCCGAGCGUUAUCCGGAUUUAUUGGGUUUAAAGGGUGCGCAGGCGGGGGAUUAAGUCGGCGGUGAAAUUUUGCAGCUCAACUGUAAAAGUGCCUUCGAAACUGGUUUCCUUGAGUGUAGAUGAAGUAGGCGGAAUUUGUGGUGUAGCGGUGAAAUGCAUAGAUAUCACGAGGAACUCCGAUUGCGCAGGCAGAUUACUAAACUACUACUGACGCUCAGGCACGAAGGCGUGGGGAUCAAACAGGAUUAGAUACCCUGGUAGUCCUCGCAGUAAACGAUGAUUACUAGCUGUUUGCGAUACAAUGUAAGCGGCUGAGCGAAAGCGUUAAGUAAUCCACCUGGGGAGUACGUUCGCAAGAAUGAAACUCAAAGGAAUUGACGGGG
rnacentral:rRNA from 1 species